UACGUUCAUCCCCUAUCAGGGGACGCAAGUAAGUCAGACAGGACUGAAGGAACGGGAU
rnacentral:ncRNA from 1 species